rnacentral:rRNA from 1 species
GAAAGCCUGACGGAGCAAUACCGCGUGAGGGAGGAAGGCUUUUGGGUUGUAAACCUCUUUUCUCAGGGAAUAAGAAAUGAAGGUACCUGAGGAAGAAGCAUCGGCUAACUCCGUGCCAGCAGCCGCGGUAAUACGGAGGAUGCAAGCGUUAUCCGGAAUGAUUGGGCGUAAAGCGUCCGCAGGUGGUCGUUCAAGUCUGCUGUUAAAGAGUUUGGCUCAACCAAAUAAGGGCAGUGGAAACUGAAGGACUAGAGAGUGGUAGGGGUAGAGGGAAUUCCCGGUGUAGCGGUGAAAUGCGUAGAGAUCGGGAAGAA